UACGGAGGGUGCGAGCGUUGUCCGGAAUUACUGGGCGUAAAGCGUGCGUAGACGGUUAUCUAAGUCGGAUGUGAAAGCCCCGGGCUCAACCUGGGAAUUGCAUUCGAGACUGAAUAGCUAGGGUGCGGUAGAGGGAAGCGGAAUUUCCGGUGUAGCGGUGAAAUGCGUAGAUAUCGGAAGGAACAUCAGUGGCGAAAGCGGCUUCCUGGACCAGCACCGACGUUCAGGCACGAAAGCGUGGGGAGCAAACAGG
rnacentral:rRNA from 1 species